rnacentral:tRNA from 1 species
GGGGCUGUGGCUCAGCGGUAGAGCAUCUGCUUGGCAUGCAGAAGGUUCCCGGUUCAACCCCCAAGCAUCUCCA